GUCAACCUCACUUGUCCAGCUCAUAGUUUUUUCUUCUUCGGAGCUCAACACCAGCCAACAGAAUGGGUAACCCUAACCUGUAGUCUGGGUUACUGGACACUAACAUGGCCGAAGGUGAACCAGUCUGAACAUCUUCUAAAUGGGUGUUAUCAGGAGUCCAAUUGCUCCUGGGAAUACACCUGGAAGCAAAAGGUAAAUAUGACGCUAGGUGCUGAGGUGGAGCUCUGGCUACGCUCGCCGGACGAUUACAACAUUACGCGCUUGCUCGGGGUUUCGAACCUGUCACUGAACGGCACUAUCAUUGUUGAGGGCACAACGAAUCAGACGAUGAAUAUGACAUGCAGCGACCCCACGGCACUCUUCUGGUUGCCUUCUUCCACUGCAUCUGUCAUCGCCUUCACUUGCCAAGCCUAUGGAUACUGGAUGCAUUCCA